rnacentral:rRNA from 1 species
AGCAGCCGCGGUAAUUCCAGCUCCAAUAGCGUAUAUUAAAGUUGUUGCAGUAAAAGUCAAGCUCGUAGUUGAAUUUUGGGAUUCUGCCAGUUGGUCCAUCUUUUGAUGAGUACUGAUUUGUGGGGUCUAUCCGCCUGGUGAUACGUAAUGUACUUUAUUGUAUGUUGCGGGUAGUCAGACCUUUACCUUGAAAAAUUAGAGUGUUUAAAGCAGGCUUAUGCCGGAAUACAUUAGCAGGAAUAAU